CCACUUUAAACUGGUGCUACCAGUAUACUGGCUCAACGAACUGACCUCAAGAACUUAUAGUAUAGUUGCACAUUUUUUUGAACUAUUACUUGUGUUUCGUGUAGUAGCCAUAACGUUAGUAGCUACCGUUAGCUAACGCAAGCUAAUUUAUUUAACGUUAACUGCUGACGUAAUGCUACAUCCCAAGCUAAGCUAGCUAACUAACGUUAGCUAACGUUUUAGGCUAACGCUAAUUCUCAAAUAGGAGGUAAUUUAAAACAAUAUAUUUACUUGUGAUAUAUUGUUUUCUUACCAUUGUUGCUGACCACAAACCAAAGACGGGUUUCUUAGAAUCUGGAGCUCCUGGUUAUCCAUUAAAAGUAGGUUAGUAUUGUUGACGUUAGCUAGCCGUUUUUAACCGUUGGGUCAACAUGGCCGUCGAUGACCAUCUUCCUCAGCUGUGUCCCACCGCUGUAAGUGACGUUAAACCGCAGGUCCGCCAUUACUGUCCACGUGUUCUUCACGCUGUUGCUCUGGCAACACGUACCUCCGUUAGGGCUCCUCCGUGCACACACUCUGCAUUCACACCCGAGCUGCCAGGAAGAAGAUUCAACUGAAGGUAUUUUACUCCUUACACUUCAGUGUAUUCGGUGUAAACACCUGUAGAAAGACUCCAAUGAGUAUGGAUGCGCUGCUUGUACUUAGUACGUCCACAAGGUGGCGCUCGACUAUAAACUAUAAACAAAAACACAUUCUUCUCCAACAGAAGACGAAUGCAGAAAAAUACCUUCACAAUUAUUUUUAUUACAGCACGCAUGUUUUUACUAUGACACAUGUAAUUGUCACAUAUUCUGUAAGAUACAUAUUUCUACUAUAAUAGAUGUUUAAUUACAUCAUUCCACAGGUAAAAUAACAGUUGGAUUCCCAAAUGCUCCUCCAAAAUAAAGUGCAAAUUUGAAUUUGGCAUGGAUGAAUCUUGUGACAUAAAUGGCAAAAAAUAAUUGUUUGCAUGCUUUGCUCACAUUUCCAUUUUUGGAGGUGAACAACUAGAG
ensembl:lncRNA